rnacentral:rRNA from 1 species
UACGUAGGGUGCUAGCGUUGUUCGGAAUCAUUGGGCGUAAAGCGCGUGUAGGCGGUUUGUUAAGUCGGAUGUGAAAUCCCUGGGCUCAACCGAGGAAGUGCAUUCGAAACUAACUGGCUAGAAGAUGGUAGAGGAAGGUGGAAUUCCAAGUGUAGAGGUGAAAUUCGUAGAUAUUUGGAGGAAUACCGGUGGCGAAGGCGGCCUUCUGGACCAUUCUUGACGCUGAGACGCGAAAGCGUGGGGAGCAAACAGG